rnacentral:rRNA from 1 species
GACGAACGCUGGCGGCGUGCUUAACACAUGCCAGCCGAACGGAAAGGCCCUGCUUUUGUGGGGUGCUCGAGUGGCGAACGGGUGAGUAGCACGUGAGUAACCUGCCCUUGACUUUGGGAUAACUUCAGGAAACUGGGGCUAAUACCGGAUAGGAGCUCCUGCUGCAUGGUGGGGGUUGGAAAGUUUCGGCGGUUGGGGAUGGACUCGCGGCUUAUCAGCUUGUUGGUGGGGUAGUGGCUUACCAAGGCUUUGACGGGUAGCCGGCCUGAGAGGGUGACCGGCCACAUUGGGACUGAGAUACGGCCCAGACUCCUACGGGAGGCAGCAGUGGGGAAUAUUGCACAAUGGGCGGAAGCCUGAUGCAGCAACGCCGCGUGCGGGAUGACGGCCUUCGGGUUGUAAACCGCUUUCGCCUGUGACGAAGCGUGAGUGACGGUAAUGGGUAAAGAAGCACCGGCUAACUACGUG